rnacentral:rRNA from 1 species
AACGAACGCUGGCGGCAUGCCUAACACAUGCAAGUCGAACGAUGCCUUUCGGGGCAUAGUGGCGCACGGGUGCGUAACGCGUGGGAAUCUGCCCUGGGGUUCGGGAUAACCGUUGGAAACGACGGCUAAUACCGGAUGAUGAUGAAAAUCCAAAGAUUAAUCGCCCUGGGAUGAGCCCGCGUCGGAUUAGCUAGUUGGUGGGGUAAAGGCCUACCAAGGCGACGAUCCGUAGCUGGUCUGAGAGGAUGAUCAGCCACACUGGGACUGAGACACGGCCCAGACUCCUACGGGAGGCAGCAGCGGGGAAUAUUGGACAAUGGGCGAAAGCCUGAUCCAGCAAUGCCGCGUGAGUGAUGAAGGCCUUAGGGUUGUAAAGCUCUUUUACCCGGGAUGAUAAUGACAGUACCGGGAGAAUAAGCCCCGGCUAACUCCGUGCCAGCAGCCGCCGUAAUAC